rnacentral:misc_RNA from 1 species
UUAAGUUCAGCGGGUAUCCCUACCUGAUCCGAGGUCAACCAUAGAAAGAUGGGGGGUUUGAUGGCGAGGGCACGCGGGGCACCUGUAACGAGAGUUUGCUACUACGUUCAGGGCUCAGCGGCGCCGCCACUGCUUUUGAGGCACGCCGGGUGACCGACGAAGCCCAAUACCAAGCUGCGCUUGAGGGUUGAAAUGACGCU